AAAUGAUGUCUCGGGUUCAAGUCUUGAAAAUUGUGAAAAAACGCUCGUAGGAGAGAGAGAAAAGGAGGUCUCGAGUUCAACUUCUGAAAAUGAUUUUGUGGUUAACGUGACACAAAUACGAAUUAGUUAACGGAAUGAAUUUCAGAGUCAUAUGGUAAGCAUGAUGAGAUUAGGUCCUUUAAUUUCAAAGAGAAAAAGAAAAAAAAAUCUUAUUUUUUUUCUCUUUUUUUCCCUUA
rnacentral:misc_RNA from 1 species